rnacentral:miRNA from 1 species
CCUAUACUGAGGUGUGGGUGG